rnacentral:rRNA from 1 species
GUGCAUAAUUUUAGAUAUAUUCAUUUUUUAUACUUAAUAAAUAAUUACAUUUAAGUCCUCCUUCAUACACUUUUAAAACAUGUACUCUGUAGUUCAUAACGUAACUCGCCUAAGCUUCAUAAUGGUCUGCACCUUGAUCUGUCCUGUUAGCUAUUAUACUAAUAUGAUAAUAUAUUCUAUAUUAUCUGUUGGCGACGGCAUACAAAAUAUUAUAUGAAGUAGAUUACCUUGGUGGUUAUCAAUUACUUGGUAAGUUCCCCUAAAUUUUAAAAUUACCGCCAUGCUAUUUGAGUUUUCACCAAUAAGGUCUUAGUGCUCAGUGUGUUGUUGUUGUGUAUUGAAUAAAAGGGUAUCUAAUCCUUGUUUUGUAGCAAUAUUUGGAAUUAAUUAGGUUAUUUAGGUUUAUAAUAUUAUUUCACCAAAAUUAUUUUAUAAACUAUAACACACUAUUGUGGUUUAUUACUAUUAAAGUCUGACCGCGACUGCUGGCACUUUUUAAGUCAUAGUAUUAAUAAUUGGUUUAAUCUUAUUUUCGUAAAUUUUAAAUUCUCUUGCCUGGUUAUCCCCUUUGAGUUCCAUUAGUAUCCUGUUUUUUAUAAACGAUGCACCAU